rnacentral:lncRNA from 1 species
UAGUUUCUCUAGGUGUGUUCCCAUGGCAGAAACAAACAACAAACAACCCCUCAAGCUUCUGCUUGUGUCACAAUGGCUAGCAUUCUAUCAGCCAAAGCAAGUUCCAUGUCGAGGCCCAAAAUUAAAGGUAGGUGGGUUACAUUCUAUCCACUAAGAUGAAGGGAGGGAGUACUUGCUAGUCAGAGGUCUCAGCUGCCACAGUGAUUAAACCAGGAUUCAAUCAUGAUUUGGUCAUGACUUUCCCUCACAUUCAUCACCAAAUCCUAUAAGUGGGCAGUUGCCAUGGCUAGAGAUAGUCCAUGCUUCCAGCCCUAACUCAAGGCAUGCAGUCAGGGCUGAGCACGCUCUCCUCAGAGCUGAGCCCUUCAACUGGAUUGUUCCUCCCACUGCAGCUGGGGGUCAGACAGCCCUCUAGGGUAUGGUCCUGUCAUUCUGUGCCCUCCCCGAUCCGGCUUCAGCUCUUGGUUUUGGCACAUGCUCCUACCUUCCUAGAUACAGCCCAAGCUUUUUGCAGAUUCUGUUACACCCACACCCACCCACACACAGCAGACUUUCCUGGUUUGCCACAAGAAGCUGUCAUGUCUGGUUGUGCCAGAUGUGCACAAAAGCUCCCAGUUAAAGAGCCUCAGGGGGAUAAGAUGCAGCCUAUACAGUAACACCAAACUGUACAUCCUAGCUUGAGACUACAUCAGCCCAGAGGAGAGAGUACCUUCUCUUCACACAAGCAUCACUGCCAGCCAAGCCAGGUCAUCGCUACCGCUUUGUGGGCUGAGGUGACAUUUGAAACGGCUCACAAAAAUGCUUUGUAAGCUGCAUUUUUCAAGCCACUGUCUGGAGGGGUUUGGAUCUAGACUGGCUGCAGGCAAUGGUCCAGUUCAUCCUUGCUGUUCUGGGAGCUUCCAGGCCAGCUACUGAGUCCAGAUGAAUGAACUCGGAGUCACCAGACAACAAAACCCGACAAAACAUAACCUUGAAGCCUCAAGAAAGGGAUCGAAGAAGGGUCUGCAAAGCCAAGCUGAAACAGCCCUAUUCCUGCAGGAGACACUCAAUGAAACGAUUCCUGUAGCGUGGGCAGAUAAGGAGCACCUCACAUCCCCAGAGAGUACAGCAGCACUCACUUCAGCAGGCCUAAGACAGCAACUGUCUCCAUCUCCCCAGACCCUGCCAGCAUGGGGCCAGCACCUCCACAGGCUGGAAGCGGCUGUUCUCCAAGUGGCGAUGAAGACAGCUUUAAUGGGCUUACAGUCACGUGUCCCUCAAAGGCCAGCCCCCCUGGACGGCUGUUUGCAAACUCCUCUCCAAAGCUGCUUCCCUUGAAGAGAGUUGCUACACAAUCAUUACAAAUUGAUUGCAAAAGAGCUAACAAUCAUGAUUAAAUCAUUAAAUUCUUGUCUACGCUUCAGAGAGCGGUGAGAAAAUUAACUUCCCACCAACCUAAUUUUUUCCUGAACAUGAAAUAAUGAUUUUCUGCCCGUCUAAUUACAAAGCCAAC